rnacentral:tRNA from 2 species
GGAGGCGUGGCAGAGCGGCCGAAUGCACUGGUCUUGAAAACCAGCGAUGGGAAACCAUCCGCGGGUUCAAAUCCCGCCGCCUCCGCCA